rnacentral:pre_miRNA from 1 species
UCUAGUCUACUGUACUGUACUGUACUUUACUGUACUGUACUCUAGUCUUGACUA